ACAACAAACCUUUCAUUUCUGGGACACUGUUUGUAAAAUCAUUAAAUUUACUGACAUAAGAGGUAUCUUGAGGAGGAUGGUCGCGAUAUUCGACCAAUGCAAGACGAACGUCGAAAGCUGUACGAGUAACGCUCUCUGCAAUAAAUAUGAUAUGUCUUUGAGCUUGAGUGAUAUAUGAACCCAUAGAUCCCGUACAAUCUACAACAAAAGCUAGAUCGACUUGCUGUGAGUUGUGGCGUGCAGACCAUCCAUCAAAUGAACGAGCCAUGUUUGGAUAUCUUCGUGUAAGCACCGUUUAUACAACAAAAUUUUCUUUUAAUUUGAAGAAGCAAUUCAAGCAAGAUUGCAUUCACUGAUUCACAUUUCACUAUUUUCACACUUUC